GGCGCUGUAGCUUAGUUGUAAAGCGCCUGUCUCGUAAACAUGAGAUCGGUGGUUCGAGUCCGCCAGUGCCU
rnacentral:tRNA from 1 species